UUCUUCUUCUUCCUGUCUUUGCUUCAGAGCUGCAGUAGAUUCAUCUUAACUGUUGUGGAGAGAGAAAGAGAUUUCAUUCUGAAGUGUUUUAAUGAUGACAACAUGAAGAUCAUUCAGCUUCAGCUCUAUGUAUUCAUGUGUUGUCAAGCUGCAGUUUCAGAUCUACUGACUGAUCUGGGAUCAAAUGUGAUCAUAAACUGUGAUCUUGAUGAAAAUGAGGUUUAUUGGAUUUUACUGAAAACACCAGAUCCUCCGACAGUGAUUCUACGAUAAGUCUCAACCUUAACAUUUUACUCUAAUAGGUCAUUCAGAAACAAAUAUUCAGUGCAGUUUAAACAUCGUCUGGUUAUUAAUAAUGUGACUGCUGAUGAAUUAGGAGUUUAUUACUGUAUGAACACAGAAACAUCUCCAAAACUCAGCAACCAGAAUAUACUUCACUGGUGAGUUUAUUACUACAGUGUUCAAGACAAAUUGAUGAUCACAAACUACAUUUGUCAUUUACUACUUCAAUGUGUUUUAUACUUAUGAAAAACUCUUUUUAUUUUAUUAUAUUUUAUUAUAUUAUUUUAUUAUCUCCUUUACAAAAUUAUGGACAUUGUAUCAGUAACUGUUUUUAGAGACUGUGGAUAUUUUCUUCACAGAAUCAACUCAACUAACUGAGAGUCACAGUCAUACAGCAGUGGACUGUACUGAUCAGAAUCAGACACAAUGGCAGAUUAUUCUCAUCACAUCUGAACUGAUGAAUGGGCUUCUGCUCAUUGUGCUGAUUGGACUAGUACAUGUUUUUGUUGUUGGAAUCAGAAGGUCAGCAGAACACUCACAGCAGUGUAACAUCGCUCUUCGGCAGACGCCAGAUACAGAACAAGACCCAGACCAAUUACAGGUAAAAUAUGACAUCAUCAUAACUAAAACUGUUAAUUUUUGUUCAACUGCAGCUGAAAAUACUUUUAUUGAUCUUUCAGUAUGCCACGGUGGACUUUUCCAAACUGCAUAAAAAUAUUUGGUCCAGCAAAAUCAACAGCACCUAUGCUGCUCUAAAUCUGCCCAAGUCAUGAACACAUGAGUAUGACUGAUUUUACAAUUGUUUGGCUCACUUUUUCUUGAAACUUACAGUAUUAACACAAACUGUUUAGGUGCUUAACAUUCUUUAGAUUAAGGCUUUUCAAAC